rnacentral:lncRNA from 1 species
UUGACUGACACAUAAAUAUGGAUCUCAAUGAGCCUUUGUAGUGGAUAUUGGAUACAGUUGGUCCAUUGUAGGAGCAUGGUGCACAUCAAGAUGGAAUCUAUCGAUCUUGAUAGAGAGGAGUAGUCUUAUGGGAUUUAAGAGGCUAAGUCCAAGUCUGUGGCCACAGUAAUAUGAUUGGUAGAAAAUUUUUUUUAUAAAAAUCACAAUUUGACUUGAGCUGAUCGAAUCUAUCAUAUGACUGAUGUUGAGGUUUGACGAUUUAUCCAUGACCUGC